CCUCUCUCAGAAUGGCACCUAGAGAGCCUCCAGUACUCUACCAGUCUCGGCUAUGGGAGGGAAAGUCAAGCAGAGGCCUACCCAUUCCAUUCCUAGCUUGGCCAGUGGCUAGCAAGUGGAAGGGAAUCUGCUAUAAGU